GCAGGGCUGGGUGAGAGGAUGCGGGCCAGAGACCAGUUCCCAGGCAGUGGCCCUGGCUGAAGGUUUCCUCCUGAGUCAGGCAGAGGAGAAGAGGCAGGCACAGCAGAUGUGGGGAGGAUCCAUGAAGGUGGAAGCAAAGUUCUCUGAGGUAGAAGGAGCUCCGUCAGAGGAAGGUCGGAGGGCGCAGGCCCAGGAGUUUGCCCAAGAUGCCCUGUCAAGUGGAGAUAAUCAGAGGAAUGAGGAGGAUGAGGAACUGCAUCAUCACUUGCCAGAUGUAGUCAAGAAUGAAGGUGUGAGAGGAAACGUCAGGAUUC